AUCUAAUUGAUAUUUAUUAUUUAUAAAAUAAGAUAUUUUUUUAUUAUAUACUGUAUCUUAUUUAUUUUAAGAUUAUAAUGAACCCCAUAGGUUUGAGCAAUGAUUUUAGAGCCAUAAUGAGAUUAUACCAGUGAAACCUAAUUCUUUGAUAGCUCUAACUCAAAAUAUUUUUAGUCAUUGGUACAUUGAGUCAGGGAUCAAUGAUACCAGUAAGACUGCCAUGCCCUAUGUAUGCUCAGAAAUGAGGGUGAUUGAUCUCACAACUUGUUGCCCAGCUAUGCA
rnacentral:lncRNA from 1 species